rnacentral:rRNA from 1 species
UACGUAGGGGGCUAGCGUUGUCCGGAUUUAUUGGGCGUAAAGAGCGUGUAGGCGGCCAGGUAGGUCUGCUGUGAAAACUCGAGGCUCAACCUCGAGACGUCGGCGGAAACCAUCUGGCUAGAGUCCGGAAGAGGAGAGUGGAAUUCCUGGUGUAGCGGUGAAAUGCGCAGAUAUCUGGAGGAACACCGGUGGCGAAGGCGGCAUCCUGGACCGGUAUUGACGCUGAUGCGCGAAAGCCAGGGGAGCAAACGGG